CCACCAGUACCAGCCUUCACUGCGAUAUAAAAAUAAAUCUGUAUACCAUUUUAUACUCUUAAUGGAAUAUUUGAAAAAAAGAAGUUUGUAAAUAUCUUAUUUCAUUUAUGAAUUUCUAGAUCUGGCUUGAAAAAAUUCCGAAGAGAGUCAAGUAGUGCAUCAAGUAUCACAUGCUGUAUUUUAUCCCUCUACCAAAUUGAAUAAAUCACUGUAUGUCUUGGGCACCUUGAUAAAGCCACAACAAGCAGCUACAUGACGUUACUGACUUACUGUAUCAGAUAGUUCUGGG
rnacentral:lncRNA from 1 species